UGAGGAAUAUUGGUCAAUGGGCGUAAGCCUGAACCAGCCAAGUCGCGUGAGGGAUGAAGGUUCUAUGGAUCGUAAACCUCUUUUAUAAGGGAAUAAAGUGCGGGACGUGUCCCGUUUUGUAUGUACCUUAUGAAUAAGGAUCGGCUAACUCCGUGCCAGCAGCCGCGGUAAUACGGAGGAUCCGAGCGUUAUCCGGAUUUAUUGGGUUUAAAGGGUGCGUAGGCGGCCUUUUAAGUCAGCGGUGAAAGUCUGUGGCUCAACCAUAGAAUUGCCGUUGAAACUGGGGGGCUUGAGUAUGUUUGAGGCAGGCGGAAUGCGUGGUGUAGCGGUGAAAUGCUUAGAUAUCACGCAGAACCCCGAUUGCGAAGGCAGCCUGCCAAGCCAUGACUGACGCUGAUGCACGAAAGCGUGGGGAUCAAACA
rnacentral:rRNA from 3 species